rnacentral:rRNA from 1 species
AGAGUUUGAUCCUGGCUCAGGAUGAACGCUAGCGGCAGGCUUAACACAUGCGAGUCGAGGGGCAGCAUGUCCAGCAAUGGAUGAUGGCGACCGGCGGAAGGGUGCGUAACGCGUGAGCAACAUGCCCUAUACAGGGAGAUACACCAGGGAAACUUGGUCUAAUAUCCCAUAGCAUUCAUUGAAGGCAUCUUUAAUGAAUUAAAGCUUCGGUGGUAUAGGAUUGGCUCGCGUGACAUUAGCCAGAUGGUGAGGUAACGGCUCACCAUAGCAAUGAUGUCUAGGGGUUUUGAGAGGAAGGCCCCCCACACUGGGACUGAGACACGGCCCAGACUCCUACGGGAGGCAGCAGUGAGGAAUAUUGGACAAUGGAUGGAAAUCUGAUCCAGCCAUGCCGCGUGCAGGAAGACGGCCUUAUGGGUUGUAAACUGCUUUUAUACGGGAGCAAUAAGGGUUACGAGUAAUCCGAUGAGAGUACUGUAUGAAUAAGGAUCGGCUAACUCCGUGCCAGCAGCCGCGGUAAUACGGAGGAUCCGAGCGUUAUUCGGAUUUAUUGGGUUUAAAGGGUGCGUAGGCGGAAAUGUAAGUCAGUGGUGAAAUCCUGCAGCUUAACUGUAGAAUAGCCGUUGAAACUGUGUUUCUUGAGUACAUUUGAGGUAGGCGGAAUGUGGUGUGUAGCGGUGAAAUGCAUAGAUAUACCACAGAACACCGAUUGCGAAGGCAGCUUACUAAACUGUCACUGACGCUGAUGCACGAAAGCGUGGGUAUCAAACAGGAUUAGAUACCCUGGUAGUCCACGCUGUAAACGAUGAUUACUGGUUGUUUGCGAUACACUGCAAGUGACUGAGCGAAAGCAUUAAGUAAUCCACCUGGGGAGUACGUCGGCAACGAUGAAACUCAAAGGAAUUGACGGGGGCCCGCACAAGCGGAGGAACAUGUGGUUUAAUUCGAUGAUACGCGAGGAACCUUACCUGGGUUUAAAUGGGGAGUGACAGGCUUGGAAACAGGCCCUUCUUCGGACACUCUUCAAGGUGCUGCAUGGUUGUCGUCAGCUCGUGCCGUGAGGUGUCGGGUUAAGUCCCAUAACGAGCGCAACCCCUAUCGAUAGUUACCAGCACGUUACGGUGGGGACUCUAUCGAGACUGCCGGUGUAAACCGUGAGGAGGGUGGGGAGGACGUCAAAUCAGCACGGCCCUUACAUCCAGGGCUACACACGUGUUACAAUGGGGGGUACAGUGGGAAGCUACCUGGCGACAGGUUGCGGAUCCCCAAAUCCUUUCUCAGUUCGGAUCGGAGUCUGUAACUCGACUCCGUGAAGUUGGAUUCGCUAGUAAUCGCGCAUCAGCCAUGGCGCGGUGAAUACGUUCCCGGGCCUUGCACUCACCGCCCGUCAAG